AAUGUUAAAUACACAGGACGAGGGCUUGUCUUGGAAAGAGUCAUGAGUGCCACUAGGCAUGCAGCCUGGACCCAGCACAUAUCAGUUAAUGCUUGCUGGAUUUUGCACACAAG